GAUGAACGCUGGCGGCGUGCUUAACACAUGCCAGUCGAACGAGAAAUGUAGACGGAAACCUUCGGGCGGAAGCCUUCAUUUCGAGUGGCGGACGGGUGAGUAACGCGUGGGUAACCUGCCUCAUACAGGGGGAUAACAGUUGGAAACGACUGUUAAUACCGCAUAAGACCACAGCAUCGCAUGAUGCGGGGGUAAAAACUCCGGUGGUAUGAGAUGGACCCGCGUUCGAUUAGCCAGUUGGCGGGGUAACGGCCCACCAAAGCGACGAUCGAUAGCCGAUCUGAGAGGAGGCCCGGCCACAUUGGAACUGAGCCACGCCCCAAACUCCCACGGGGGGCAGCAUGGGGGAAUAUGGACAAAUGGGGGAAACCCUGAUGCAGCGACGCCGGGGGAGUGAAGAAGUACUUGGGUAUGUAAAGCUCUAUCAGCAGGGAAAAAAAUGACGGUACCGGGGAAAGAAGCCCCGGCUAACUACGU
rnacentral:rRNA from 1 species